GCUAUACAUGCAAGUCGAGCGGACCGACGGGAGCUUGCUCCCUUAGGUCAGCGGCGGACGGGUGAGUAACACGUGGGUAACCUGCCUGUAAGACUGGGAUAACUCCGGGAAACCGGGGCUAAUACCGGAUGCUUGAUUGAACCGCAUGGUUCAAUCAUAAAAGGUGGCUUUUAGCUACCACUUGCAGAUGGACCCGCGGCGCAUUAGCUAGUUGGUGAGGUAACGGCUCACCAAGGCGACGAUGCGUAGCCGACCUGAGAGGGUGAUCGGCCACACUGGGACUGAGACACGGCCCAGACUCCUACGGGAGGCAGCAGUAGGGAAUCUUCCGCAAUGGACGAAAGUCUGACGGAGCAACGCCGCGUGAGUGAUGAAGGUUUUCGGAUCGUAAAACUCUGUUGUUAGGGAAGAACAAGUACCGUUCGAAUAGGGCGGCACCUUGACGGUACCUAACCAGAAAGCCACGGCUAACUACGUGCCAGCAGCCGCGGUAAUACGUAGGUGGCAAGCGUUGUCCGGAAUUAUUGGGCGUAAAGCGCGCGCAGGCGGUUUCUUAAGUCUGAUGUGAAAGCCCCCGGCUCAACCGGGGAGGGUCAUUGGAAACUGGGGAACUUGAGUGCAGAAGAGGAGAGUGGAAUUCCACGUGUAGCGGUGAAAUGCGUAGAGAUGUGGAGGAACACCAGUGGCGAAGGCGACUCUCUUGUCUGUAACUGACGCUGAGGCGCGAAAGCGUGGGGAGCGAACAGGAUUAGAUACCCUGGUAGUCCACGCCGUAAACGAUGAGUGCUAAGUG
rnacentral:rRNA from 1 species